UCUAUACCCCAUUAUUUGCCCGACCCCUGUCUGCUCAGUUUUAGGUUGGGGUGACCACGGAGUAUAAAAUAACCUCCAUGAAGAAGGGGAUAUUUCCCUUAUUAGAGAACCACACUUCCNAGAACUAAUAAAUUAAUUUUCAAUGACCCGAUACCCGAUAAUCGAUCAACGAACCAAGUUACCCUGGGGAUAACAGCGCAAUCCACCCUGAAAGCCCUUAUUAACAGGUGGGUUUACGACCUCGAUGUUGGAUCAGGGUAUCCCAGUGGUGCAGCAGCUACUGAGGGUUCGUUUGUUCAACGAUUAA
rnacentral:rRNA from 1 species